GGAAGUUCUAUGACAGUUGAGACAAACUGGAAGUUCUGUGACAGGUGAGACAAACGGGAAGUUCUAUGACAGGUGAGACAAACGGGAAGUUAUAUGACAGAUGAGACAAAUGGGAAGUUCUAUGACAGGUGAGACAAAUGGCAAGUAUUAUGACAGGUGAGACAAAUGGGAAGUGUUAUGACAGGUGAGACAAAUGGGAAGUGUUAUGACAGGUGAGACAAAUGGGAAGUUCUAUGACAGGUGAGACAAAUGGGAAGUUCUAUGACAGGUGAGACAAAUGGGAAGUUCUAUGACAGGUGAGACAAAUGGGAAGUAUUAUGACAGGUGAGACAAAUGGGAAGUGUUAUGACAGGUGAGACAAAUGGGAAGUGUUAUGACAGGUGAGACAAAUGGAAAGUGUUAUGACAG